rnacentral:rRNA from 1 species
CGCCGCGUGAACGAUGAAGGCUUUCGGGUCGUAAAGUUCUGUUGUUAGGGAAGAACAAGUACCGGAGUAACUGCCGGUACCUUGACGGUACCUAACCAGAAAGCCACGGCUAACUACGUGCCAGCAGCCGCGGUAAUACGUAGGUGGCAAGCGUUGUCCGGAAUUAUUGGGCGUAAAGCGCGCGCAGGCGGUUCCUUAAGUCUGAUGUGAAAGCCCCCGGCUCAACCGGGGAGGGUCAUUGGAAACUGGGGAACUUGAGUGCAGAAGAGGAGAGCGGAAUUCCACGUGUAGCGGUGAAAUGCGUAGAGAUGUGGAGGAACACCAGUGGCGAAGGCGGCUCUCUGGUCUGUAACUGACGCUGAGGCGCGAAAGCGUGGGGAGCGAACAGGAUUAGAUACCCUGGUAGUCCACGCCGUAAACGAUGAGUGCUAAGUGUUAGAGGGUUUCCGCCCUUUAGUGCUGCAGCAAACGCAUUAAGCACUCCGCCUGGGGAGUACGGCCGCAAGGCUGAAACUCA